rnacentral:rRNA from 1 species
UGGGGAAUAUUGGGCAAUGGGCGAAAGCCUGACCCAGCAACGCCGCGUGAGGGAAGAAGGGUUUCGGCUCGUAAACCUCUGUCCUAUGGGACGAAGGAAGUGACGGUACCAUAGGAGGAAGCCCCGGCUAACUACGUGCCAGCAGCCGCGGUAAUACGUAGGGGGCGAGCGUUGUCCGGAAUGAUUGGGCGUAAAGGGCGCGUAGGCGGCCUGCUAAGUCUGGAGUGAAAGUCCUGCUUUCAAGGUGGGAAUUGCUUUGGAUACUGGUGGGCUGGAGUGCAGGAGAGGAAAGCGGAAUUACCGGUGUAGCGGUGAAAUGCGUAGAGAUCGGUAGGAACACCAGUGGCGAAGGCGGCUUUCUGGACUGAAACUGACGCUGAGGCGCGAAAGCGUGGGGAGC